GAGUUUGAUCCUGGCUCAGGACGAACGCUGGCGGCAUGCCUAACACAUGCAAGUCGAACGGAACGGAAGUCGGUCGUCCGAGGUCAGAAGUCAGAUUAAGCUGAGUAAUAGAGCAAAAGAAAAAAUCAUUACAGGAUGAGACAUCUGGCUUCAGACGACUGACUUCCGUUCAGUGGCGGACGGGUGAGUAACGCGUGGGUAACCUACCCAGAAGACCGGGAUAACUCCGGGAAACCGGGGCUAAUACCGGAUACGUUUCCUUUAUCGCAUGAUAGAGGAAAGAAAGGAUGGCCUCUCUAAAGAAGCUAUCGCUUUUGGAUGGACCCGCGUCUGAUUAGCUAGUUGGUGAGGUAGUGGCUCACCAAGGCGACGAUCAGUAGCCGGCCUGAGAGGGUGACCGGCCACACUGGGACUGAGACACGGCCCAGACUCCUACGGGAGGCAGCAGUGGGGAAUCUUCCGCAAUGGGCGAAAGCCUGACGGAGCAAUGCCGCGUGAGUGAAGAAGGCCUUCGGAUUGUAAAACUCUGUCCUAAGGGAAGAAAUUCUCUUAUGUGAAUAAUGUAAGAGAGUGACGGUACCUUAGGAGGAAGCCCCGGCUAACUACGUGCCAGCAGCCGCGGUAAUACGUAGGGGGCGAGCGUUGUCCGGAAUUACUGGGCGUAAAGCGCGCGUAGGCGGGCAUUUAAGUCAGAUGUGAAACCUCUGGGCUUAACCUAGAGCAUGCAUCUGAUACUGGAUGUCUUGAGUGUAGAAGAGGAGAGUGGAAUUCCUAGUGUAGCGGUGAAAUGCGUAGAUAUUAGGAGGAACACCAGUGGCGAAGGCGACUCUCUGGUCUAUAACUGACGCUGAGGCGCGAAAGCGUGGGGAGCAAACAGGAUUAGAUACCCUGGUAGUCCACGCCGUAAACGAUGGGUACUAGGUGUUGGGGGUUUCGACGCCCUCAGUGCCGCAGUUAACACAUUAAGUACCCCGCCUGGGGAGUACGGUCGCAAGACUGAAACUCAAAGAAAUUGACGGGGGCCCGCACAAGCGGUGGAGCAUGUGGUUUAAUUCGACGCAACGCGAAGAACCUUACCAAGGCUUGACAUCCCUCUGACCGCUCCUUAAUCGGAGCUUUCCUUCGGGACAGAGGAGACAGGUGGUGCAUGGUUGUCGUCAGCUCGUGUCGUGAGAUGUUGGGUUAAGUCCCGCAACGAGCGCAACCCUUACUUCUAGUUGCCAUCAUUAAGUUGGGCACUCUAGAGGGACUGCCGGUGACAAACCGGAGGAAGGUGGGGAUGACGUCAAAUCAUCAUGCCCCUUAUGUCUUGGGCUACACACGUGCUACAAUGGGCAGUACAGAGGGUAGCGAAGCCGUGAGGCGGAGCCAAUCCCUUAAAGCUGCUCUCAGUUCGGAUUGCAGGCUGCAACUCGCCUGCAUGAAGUCGGAAUCGCUAGUAAUCGCAGGUCAGCAYACUGCGGUGAAUACGUUCCCGGGCCUUGUACACACCGCCCGUCACACCACGAAAGUUGGUAACACCCGAAGCCGGUGGGAUAACCCUUAUGGGAGUCAGCCGUCGAAGGUGGGAUCAAUGAUUGGGGUGAAGUCGUAACAAGGUAGCC
rnacentral:rRNA from 2 species